UAAACCAAUCCUUUAACCAAUACAUUGGUCAAUAGUGACCAAUAUAUUGGUUGCUUGGCAACCAAUCACAUUGGUUAACCAAUAAACCAAUCCUUUAACCAAUACAUUGGUCAAUAGCGACCAAUAUAUUGGUUGCUCGGCAACCAAUCACAUUGGUUGAGCAGUAAACCAAUCCUUUAACCAAUACAUUGGUCAAUAGCGACCAAUAUGUUGGUUGCUCGGCAACCAAUCACAUUGGUUGAGCAAUAAACCAAUCCUUUAACCAAUAUGUUGCUGCUCGGCGGCCACCAAUGACAUUGGUUGAGUAACGAAUCAAUGCUUAUUGGUCACAAAUAGGUUAGUUUUCAAGCAGCCAAUCACAUUGGGCCAGCAAUGAACCAAUCUUCAAUGGUUGACAUUGGAAUAAUGACCAAUAGGAAGCCACCAAUCACAUUGGUUCAGCAAUGAAGCAAUCCUGAAGUUUUCAUUUCAGACAUGAACAAUCCUUAUCGAGAUUAACCAAUAUAUUGGUCAACUUGUGUCCAGUUAGGAUGGUUUUCCGGUAACCAAUCACAUUGGUUGAUUCAACCUUAUCAACCAAUCCAUAUUGCAUGGUUGCUAGCGGUUGGACCAAAUCUACUAUUUUUGGGUGUGAGAUAUCCAGUGUUCCAGCUUCUCACAGGAAUUCCAAAGAGAAAUAGAAAAUAAAUGUGUAAAAAAAUCUUUGUCAAUAAUAAGAGAUUUGAUUGCAAAAAAGGAAUUGAAAUUCCAAUCCUGUUUGUCAAAGAUGUCAAACAUUUAAUUUACUGCAUUUACAAUAGAAUGACCCUCAAUAAAAGUGGAAUGUCCCCUAGCCACGCAUGCGAUUUCAAACUGCUACUCGAUCCUUGCUCCAUGCUUCGACAAUCCGCUGCUUGCUUGUCUCUCUGUUUCAGAUUGAUGAGGACUUCCGGCUUCUCUUCAAGGAGCAGGCAAUUUCAACGCAAAGUGGGAGAUGGUGGCACCAAAGUUUUUGAAACAAAAACAGCUAGACCGUUGCGAUGACACAGCUGUGCGCCUUGUAGCAGCUCUAGCUGAAUCUUGUUCCUGGUCAAGACGAUGAUGAAGAGGAUGCUGACUACUACCCAGCCCUGGAGGACAUACAUGUAGCUGCAACACAGUGCUUGUCAAACUGCCGAUGCUACACAAGAACAGUGUCUACUGCGAAGGUGAAAAGUGGAAGCCAAGCAUACGGCCACAAGUGUGGAACAGACCUUGCCAGCUUUAUCCAGAGGAGGGACAAGGAUUCGAGGAAUGCACUGAGAGGGGAGUAACUCUCAAGACAUACCAGUGCACCAUUUCUUCAGUUCGUUAAUGAGGUGACAGUAGCAAAGUUGUUUUGAGAUAAGCAUUUAUGGUUUUAAAGUUUUUAAAUAACAUAUUUAAGGUUUUCUGAAAAUUUGGGAAGUUCAUUUUUCUCAUUAAAGUGAUGCCAAAAAAUAUAUUUUGUGAAAAGUGACGCAAUAACAUUUGGAAAGCAACUUAACUUUUUUCAAUAGCUUGUACUUAUCUAGUAAAUAAUUAAGUUGUUCCCUUUCGAGAUGAAUCAAAACAAUUUAUACUAAGUUUUUAAAAAUCUACUUUCAAGAUUAGGCAAUACAUGUAGUUAAUAAGAUUUAUAAUGAAUUACAAGACAAUGCAGCAAGUCUAUCUGCCAAAUUGUCAAUUUGAAGAAAUCAAAUGCUGAACUUAAAGUACAAAUCUUAAAUAUCAUCGAACUUCCAUACUAAAAGUUAAAUUUUACAUAAUCCAAGGAAGAGGGUGACUAAAAUAUAAUAUCCACUUAUUAAGCAUGUUUCAUGCAUGGCCAGGUCGUUUGGUUUUUGUUUGUCUUUUGUUUAAAACACAGCACCAAUUCAAUCUGCAACAGCAGUGAUGCUCUAGAUGCUUGCAUCCGUUUUAAAUUCAAAAUUGUA